UACAGAGGUCUCAAGCGUUGUUCGGAUUCAUUGGGCGUAAAGGGUGCGUAGGUGGCGCGCUAAGUCGGGUGUGAAAUUUCGGAGCUUAACUCCGAAACUGCAUUCGAUACUGGCGUGCUUGAGGACUGGAGAGGAGACUGGAAUUUACGGUGUAGCAGUGAAAUGCGUAGAGAUCGUAAGGAAGACCAGUGGCGAAGGCGGGUCUCUGGACAGUUCCUGACACUGAGGCACGAAGGCCAGGGGAGCAAACGGG
rnacentral:rRNA from 1 species